rnacentral:rRNA from 1 species
UAGGGAAUCUUCGGCAAUGGGGGGAACCCUGACCGAGCAACGCCNCGUGAGUGAAGAAGGUUUUCGGAUCGUAAAGCUCUGUUGUUAAGGAAGAACGAGUGUGAGAAUGGAAAGUUCAUACUGUGACGGUACUUAACCAGAAAGGGACGGCUAACUACGUGCCAGCAGCCGCGGUAAUACGUAGGUCCCGAGCGUUGUCCGGAUUUAUUGGGCGUAAAGCGAGCGCAGGCGGUUAGAAAAGUCUGAAGUGAAAGGCAGUGGCUCAACCAUUGUAGGCUUUGGAAACUGUUUAACUUGAGUGCAGAAGGGGAGAGUGGAAUUCCAUGUGUAGCGGUGAAAUGCGUAGAUAUAUGGAGGAACACCGGUGGCGAAAGCGGCUCUCUGGUCUGUAACUGACGCUGAGGCUCGAAAGCGUGGGGAGCGAACAGGAUUAGAUACCCUGGUAGUCCACGCCGUAAACGAUGAGUGCUAGGUGCUAGGUCCUUUCCGGGACUUAGUGCCGCAGCUAACGCAUUAAGCACUCCGCCUGGGGAGUACGACCGCAAGUUG